rnacentral:rRNA from 1 species
GGCUCAGAACGAACGCUGGCCGCGUGCCUAAUACAUGCAAGUCGAGCGGAUGAGGAAGAAGCUUGCUUCUUCUGAUUCAGCGGCGGACGGGUGAGUAACACGUGGGCAACCUGCCCUGUAGAUUGGGAUAACUCCGGGAAACCGGGGCUAAUACCGAAUAAUCCAUUUCCUCACAUGGGGAGAUGUUAAAAGACUUAUCACUUACGGAUGGGCCCGCGGUGCAUUAGCUUGUUGGUGGGGUAAUGGCCUACCAAGGCGACGAUGCAUAGCCGACCUGAGAGGGUGACCGGCCACACUGGGACUGAGACACGGCCCACUCCUACGGGAGGCAGCAGUGGG